AUGGCGGAUCUGGAGGAACAGUUGUCUGAUGAGGAGAAGGUACUUAUAGCAGAAAAAUUCAUCAUUCAUGCCCCUCCUGGAGAGUUUAAUGAGGUUUUUAAUGAUGUUCGAUUACUGCUUAAUAAUGAUAAUCUCCUGAGAGAGGGAGCGACCCAUGCAUUUGCACAGUGUAACUUGGAUCAGUUUACUUGGAUUGAAGGUUACGAAGAUCAGGUAUUGAUAACAGAACAUGGCGACUUGGGAAAUGGAAAGUUUUUGUACCCAAAAAACAGAAUCUGUUUCAAAUUUGAUCACUUAAGAAAGGAAGCGACUGAUCCAAGACUCUAUGAAGCAGAAAAUGCAGUUGAAUCAUGGAGAACUUUUGUAGAAACUGCACUACGAGCAUAUGUAAAAGAACAUUACCCAAACAGGGUCUGCACUGUAUACGGUAAAAAGAUAGAUGGACAACAAACCAUUAUUGCAUGCAUAGAAAGCCAUCAGUUCCAAGCGAAAAACUUUUGGAAUGGUCUUUGGAGGUCAGAGUGGAAAUUUACAGUCUCACCUUCAACCACUCAGGUAGUUGGCAUCUUGAAAAUUCAGGUUCAUUAUUAUGAAGAUGGAAAUGUUCAGCUAGUGAGUCAUAAAGAUACACAAGGUUCCCUAACAGUGUCUAAUGAAGUGCAAACAGCAAAAGAAUUAAUAAAGAUUGUAGAAGCUGCAGAAAAUGAAUAUCAGACUGCCAUCAGUGAGAAUUACCAGACAAUUUCGGACACUACUUUCAAGACCUUAUGUCGACAGUUGCCAGUUACACAUACUAAGAUUGAUUGGAACAAGAUCCUUAGCUACAAGAUUGACAAAGAAAUGCAGAACGCAUAAGAUGAACAUUGCAUGUCUGGAUCAUUUUAGUAAUCUUUGCGUUUAAAAGAAUUACUGCAAGUGUUCAGAACUGUCAAGCUGCCCAAUCACAUGGGCUAUUGCCACUUAAAAUCAAUGUAAUUAAUUAGUUUCGUUAGAGCACAAAAGUUAGCUAAUCAACCAUUAUUUUCUUUACUUUUGUUUGAAGAGGAUUGAAAUAAAUGAGUUUAGUUUAAAUGUCUAUUACUUUCUGUUAUUCCUUUCUUUGUUACAAUGAAGAGCUGAUUC